UACAGAGGGUGCGAGCGUUAAUCGGAAUUACUGGGCGUAAAGCGUGCGCAGACGGUUGCGUAAGUCAGAUGUGAAAGCCCCGGGCUCAACCUGGGAAUUGCAUUUGAGACUGCGUAGCUAGGGUGCGGAAGAGGGAAGCGGAAUUUCCGGUGUAGCGGUGAAAUGCGUAGAUAUCGGAAGGAACACCAGUGGCGAAAGCGGCUUCCUGGUCCAGCACCGACGUUCAGGCACGAAAGCGUGGGGAGCAAACGGG
rnacentral:rRNA from 1 species